rnacentral:rRNA from 1 species
GACGAACGCUGGCGGCGUGCUUAACACAUGCAAGUCGAACGAUGAAGAAGAGAAACGCGAACUUCGGUUCAAAUUUCACUUCGGAUUAGUGGCAGACGGGUGAGUAACGCGUGAGCAACCUACCUCUUACAAAGGGAUAGCCUCGGGAAACCGUGAUUAAUACCAUAUGACACAUUCAUAAGGCAUCUUAAGAAUGUUAAAGCUACGGCGGUAAGAGAUGGGCUCGCGUCCCAUUAGCUAGUUGGUGAGGUAACGGCCCACCAAGGCGACGAUGGGUAACCGGCCUGAGAGGGUGAACGGUCACAUUGGAAAUGAGACACGGUCCAAACUCCUACGGGAGGCAGAAGUGGGGAAUAUUGCACAAUGGAGGGAACUCUGAUGCAGCGACGCCGCGUGAGCGAUGAAGGAAUUCGUUUCGUAAAGCUCUGUUCUAUGGGAAGAAAAGGACUGUACCAUAGGAGAAAGCCCCGGCUAAAUACGUG